rnacentral:rRNA from 1 species
UACGUAGGUGGCAAGCGUUGUCCGGAUUUACUGGGCGUAAAGGGCGUGCAGGCGGUUUGUUUAGUCUAGGGUGAAAGCUCCCGGCUUAACUGGGAGAGGUCCUUGGAUACUGGCAAACUUGAGGGAGGCAGAGGAAAGUGGAAUUCCCGGUGUAGUGGUGAUAUGCGUAGAUAUCGGGAGGAACACCAGUGGCGAAGGCGGCUUACUGGACCAUGACUGACGCUGAGGCACGAAAGCGUGGGGAGCAAACAGG